rnacentral:rRNA from 1 species
CCUACGGGAGGCAGCAGUGGGGAAUAUUGGGCAAUGGGCGCAAGCCUGACCCAGCAACGCCGCGUGAAGGAAGAAGGCUUUCGGGUUGUAAACUUCUUUUCUGAGGGACGAAGAAAGUGACGGUACCCCAGGAAUAAGCCACGGCUAACUAAGUGCCAGCACCCGCGGUAAUCCGUCGGUGGCAAGCGUUAUCCGGAUUUAUUGGGUGUAAAGGGCGUGUAGGCGGGAAAGCAAGUCAGAUGUGAAAACCCAGGGCUCAACCCUGGGCCUGCAUUUGAAACUGUUUUUCUUGAGUGCUGGAGAGGCAAGCGGAAUUCCGUGUGUAGCGGUGAAAUGCGUAGAUAUACGGAGGAACACCAGUGGCGAAGGCGGAUUGCUGGACAGUAACUGACGCUGAGGCGCGAAAGCGUGGGGAGCAAACAGGAUUAGAUACCCCUGUAGUC